rnacentral:rRNA from 1 species
CCCAUGGAUUGCCUCAGUAGCGGCGAGUGAGCGGGCAAGAGCUCAGAUUUGAAAUCGUGCUUUGCGGCACGAGUUGUAGAUUGCAGGUUGGAGUCUGUGUGGAAGGCGGUGUCCAAGUCCCUUGGAACAGGGCGCCCAGGAGGGUGAGAGCCCCGUGGGAUGCCGGCGGAAGCAGUGAGGCCCUUCUGACGAGUCGAGUUGUUUGGGAAUA